rnacentral:lncRNA from 1 species
AGCCCUCCCCACCUGCCCAGCAAUUUACUCUUAAAAAGGUGGCUGGAGCUAAAGGCAUAGUCAAGGUUAAUGCUCCUUUUUCUUUAUCCCAAAUCGGAUAGCGUUUAGGCUCUUUUUCAUCAAAUAUAAAAAUCCAGCCCAGUUCAUGGCUCGUUUGGCAGCAACCCUGAGACGCUUUACAGCCCUAGACCCUAAAAGUUCAAAAGGCCGUCUUAUUCUCAAAAUACACUUUAUUACCCAAUCUGCUCCCGACAUUAAAGAAAACUCCAAAAAUUAAAUUCCAGCCCUCAAACCCCACAACAGGAUUUAAUUAACCUCGCCUUCAAGGUGUACAAUAAUAGAGAAAAGUUGCAAUUCCUUGCCUCCACUGUGAGACAAACCCCAGCCACAUCUCCAGCACACAAGAACUUCCAAACGCCUGAACCGCAGCAGCCAGGCGUUCCUCCAGAACCUCCUCCCCCAGGAGCUUGCUACAAGUGCCAGAAAUCUGGCCACCAGGCCAAGGAAUGCCUGCAGCCCAGGAUUCCUCCUAAGCUGAGUCCCAUCUGUGCGGGACCCCACUGGAAAUCGGACUGUCUAACUCACCUGGCAGCCACUCCCAGCGCCCCUGGAAUUCUGGCCCAAGGCUCUCUGACUGCUUCCCACAUCUUCUUGGCUUAGCGGCUGAAGACUGAUGCUGCCCGAUCGCCUCGGAAGCCCCCUACAAGACCAUCACGGAUGCCGAGCUUCGCGUAACUCUCACAGUGGAGGGUACACAUCCAGAUGGCCGGUUCCUGCCUUAACUGAUGACAUUCUACCACAAAAGAAGUGAAAAUGGCCUGUUCCUGCCUUAACUGAUGACAUUGCCUUGUGAAAUUCCUUCUCCUAGCUCAUCCUGGCUCAAAAGCUCCCCUACUGAGCACCUUGUGACCCCUACUCUGCCCGCCAGAGAACAAACCAACCCCUCUUUGACUGUAAUUUUCCUUUACCUACCCAAAUCCUAUAAAACGGCCCCACCCCUAUCUCCCUUCGCUGACUCUCUUUUCG